AUUGAACGCUGGCGGCAGGCUUAACACAUGCAAGUCGAACGAGUGGCGGACGGGUGAGUAAUGCUUGGGAAUCUAGCUUAUGGAGGGGGAUAACUACGGGAAACUGUAGCUAAUACCGCGUACCAUAGGAUGAGCCCAAGUGGGAUUAGGUAGUUGGUGAGGUAAAGGCGCACCAAGCCGACGAUCUCUAGCUGGUCUGAGAGGAUGACCAGCCACCCUGUGACUGAGACCCUGCCCAGACUCCUACGGACGGCAGCAGUGGGGAAUAUUGCGCAAUGGGGACAACCUGACGCAGCCAUGCCGCGAGAAUGAAGAAGGCCUUCGGGUUGUACAGUUCUUUCGGUAGCGAGGCGUUAACUACAGAAGAAGCACCGGCUAACUCCGUGCCAGCAGCCGCGGUAAUAC
rnacentral:rRNA from 1 species